GCCGAAAGGCUGAACCAGUAACUUGGAAGAAUGGUAAUGAAAUUUUGUAUCGGUUCAUUAGCGGUUAACUCGCAUAAAAUUCUAAAUAGAUUGUAUAUAAUGACAUAAUCUAUUUAUAAGUCUUGACCAAACUACGUGCCAGCAGUCGCGGUAAUACGUAGGAGGCUAGUGUUAGUUAUCUUUAUUGGGUUUAAAGGGUAAGUAGACGGUAAAUUAAACUCUAAACGAGUACUUUUUUACUAGAGUUAUAUGAGAGAAGGAAGAAUUUCUGGAGUAGAGAUAAAAUUUGAUGAUACCAGGAGGACUGUCAACGGCGAAGGCGUCCUUCUAUGUAAUAACUGACGUUGAGAGACGAAGGCUUGGGUAGCAAACAGGAUUAGAUACCCUAAUAGUCCAAGCAGACAAUGAUGAAUGUCAUACAUUAGAUAUAAAUUUAAUGUAUAAACGAAAGUGUAAGCAUUCCACCUCAAGAGUACUAUGGCAACAUAUAAACUGAAAUCAUUAGACCGUUUCUAAAACCAGUAGUGAAGUAU
rnacentral:rRNA from 1 species